rnacentral:rRNA from 1 species
AUACGGAGGGGGCUAGCGUUGUUCGGAAUUACUGGGCGUAAAGCGCGCGUAGGCGGAUUGUUAAGUCGGGGGUGAAAUCCCGGGGCUCAACCCCGGAACUGCCUCCGAUACUGGCAAUCUUGAGGUCGAGAGAGGUGAGUGGAAUUCCGAGUGUAGAGGUGAAAUUCGUAGAUAUUCGGAGGAACACCAGUGGCGAAGGCGGCUCACUGGCUCGAUUCUGACGCUGAGGUGCGAAAGCGUGGGGAGCAAACAGGAUUAGAUACCCCGGUAGUCC